ACUGUGUUUGUCUCUCCUGCUGCGCCAGGUGUCUCAACUCAGUCCUUUAAAGAUCAAAUGAAGGCUCUGUCUGCGAGUGAACAGAAUGCAAUGGUGCCCUCUCUUCCUCUGUCAAACCCAUCUUAUACUUAGAAAGGCCAGGAAAUAAACCACAGCCAGGAUGUCCAAUCGCUCCAGGAACCAGGUCUGUCCGCAUACAUCAGUAUCCCGCAGCUAGCAGCUGAUGAAGGAAGUGGAGCAGCAGCUCAGGGAUAGUGCCAGAGAUAGAGACCUUCUCAAGAUCCAGCCCUCAGGUCAGACUCUAAUUAUCACCACUGAAACAUGCAAUCUGGACUCGUCAGACCUGCAAAGUCAUUAGUGUAGCAACAGAUGACUU